UACGUAGGUGGCAAGCGUUGUCCGGAAUUAUUGGGCGUAAAGAGCGCGUAGGCGGUCCGAUAAGUCGGCUGUGAAAGUCAGGGGCUCAACCCUUGGAAGCCGGCCGAUACUGUCGGACUAGAGUCCGGAAGAGGCGAGUGGAAUUCCCGGUGUAGCGGUGAAAUGCGCAGAUAUCAGGAAGAACACCAAUGGCGAAGGCAGCUCUCUGGGACGGUACUGACGCUGAGACGCGAAAGCGUGGGGAGCGAACAGG
rnacentral:rRNA from 1 species